rnacentral:rRNA from 1 species
UACGUAGGGCGCAAGCGUUGUCCGGAAUUAUUGGGCGUAAAGAGCUCGUAGGCGGCUUGUCACGUCGGGUGUGAAAGCCCGGGGCUUAACCCCGGGUCUGCAUUCGAUACGGGCUGGCUAGAGUGUGGUAGGGGAGAUCGGAAUUCCUGGUGUAGCGGUGAAAUGCGCAGAUAUCAGGAGGAACACCGGUGGCGAAGGCGGAUCUCUGGGCCAUUACUGACGCUGUGGAGCGAAAGCGUGGGGAGCGAACAGG